GUCUUACUGGGGAACCCUGCCUGCUUGAAGCCUUCUAAAGAUGCAAAACUUGGGGAGUCUUCACAAGCAAUCUGGAGGAAUGAGUCUGCAGCAGAAAGGACAGUGCCUGUGAAAUUAUUACUUAAAACAGAGUCCAGAGUCUCAGGAUGUUAUCCUUGAGUGACCUGGGAAGGAGCGAACUCCUUCAUAGCUGAAGAGCAUGUGACGUUGACUGUUGUCAGGAAACUUGCAGCUGCAGGAUAACAGCCUGAAACUUUUUAAUGGGGAAGCUUCUUUUCUGUUGGCAUCCUUCUUUACUUUUAACUCAAAAGUCUCUGUAAUAUUCUGUGUUUUUAGCACUUUGGCGUUCUGAUUUCAUACUGCAAAACAGAUAAUUUGUAACUCUCCAGAUCUCACCAGUGCCUCCAAAGGAUGCAUGUUGCCUCACAGACUUUUUUUUUUUUCCUCUUUUAUUUCUUUUUUCCAACACAUAAAGCUAUAAACAAGCAAUGAAGAAAUCCAUCCUUUAAAAAUAGCUGGUGACGGUCAGGGCACAUGUUUUGCUACUCAUGCAGAAAAAGCGAGCAUCUGCUUUGAAGAGAAGGCUUCAAUGGCUCCAGCAGCAAUUUAUAGUCAUGAAGCUGUCAGCUUGCACCUGCACUGCAAGCAGCAAAGGAGAAGGGGAAGAGGAUGUCUCUUAUUUUAAACUCAGAGUUAUUCAGUAGAAAUCAUUCUGCUGGCCCCCUACAAUCUUAAAAAGGCCCAGUUUUAAAACUGUGAUGACUGUGCUGAGAUACAGUAGCUAAUAUGUGCUCUUCUGCCAUUAUCUUGGACUGAUCUUGAGAGUGGCUGGGGUGUAGGAUAGGAAUACAACUUACUAGUAAUGACUAAUUUUUCUGUGGUGCCCUAGUCCUUCUAGCCUCAAAAAACGUGGCUCAAGUCUGUAGGAGAGAGGAAGCAAACUAUCUCCUUGUCUCCCCCUACCUCCUUCUGCACCCUUCUUCUUCUGCCUGUCCCCGUAUUUGUGCCUGUGUCCAAGCCCCAAUGUCUGUGCCAAGAGGGAGAAGAUGUGAAGGUGGAUUUCAAUCUCCAAUAACUUUCAGUUGUAUCGGUUUCCUGACAAAGAGGAAAAUGAGCCCAAACUUUCAAACUAUGGGAGAAAAGACUUAGCAGGACAGCAGUGACUGAGGGUGGGUUUUUGCUUCUGGGAAGAACUAAGCUGAAGAGCUUCUCAGCACUGACAUUGAAUGAAAGACUAAACUCAGGUCUGCUGCAGGAGCAAUCCUUUGGUUUGGAAUCAGUCUUGAGCUGAGCGUUAAUGGUAAGGCUAUCAAGAAAGAAUUGCAUGUUCUGUCAGAUAUUCAGAGAGGAUUU
ensembl:lncRNA